rnacentral:lncRNA from 1 species
AUGCUGUGGGAGACCUACAAACCACAGAGCCCAGGACGCUCUGCGUGGCCAAAGCUGUGUCCAGUUAGAGUAGAACUGUGUGACCAAAGAUCUAGAACAACGUGGGGACCCAGUCCUCCAGGGCACACUGAAGUGGGACUUCCUGAGGACGUCGACCUGCAGAGUCACCUGCAGAGCUCGGAGCACGCGUCAGAGGAGAGUCCACCUCUGCACACUACUUCCUCAGAGCUCCGCACUCCACCUCUGCACACUGCACGAAGGUUCACUCCCACAGAGCUCUGCACUCCACCUCUGCACACUGCACGAAGGUUCACUUCCACAGAGCUCCGCACUCCACCUCUGCACACUGCACGAAGACUCACUUCCACAGAGCUCCGCACUCCACCUCUGCACACUGCACGAAGACUCACUUCCACAGAGCUCCGCACUCCACCUCUGCACACUGCACGAAGACUCACUUCCACAGAGCUCCGCACUCCACCUCUGCACACUGCACGAAGACUCACUUCCACAGAGCUCCGCACUCCACCUCUGCACACUGCACGAAGACUCACUUCCACAGAGCUCCGCACUCCACCUCUGCACACUGCACGAAGACUCACUCCCACAGAGCUCCACACUCCACCUCUGCACACUGCACGAAGGUUCACUCCCACAGAGCUCCGCACUCCACCUCUGCACACUGCACGAAGGUUCACUCCCACAGAGCUCUGCACUCCACCUCUGCACACUGCACGAAGGUUCACUCCCACAGAGCUCUGCACUCCACCUCUGCACACUGCACGAAGGCUCACUCCCACAGAGCUCUGCACUCCACCUCUGCACACUGCACGAAGGUUCACUCCCACAGAGCUCUGCACUCCACCUCUGCACACUGCACGAAGGUUCACUCCCACAGAGCUCCGCACUCCACCUCUGCACACUGCACGAAAGACUCACUUCCACAGAGCUCCGCACUCCACCUCUGCACACUGCACGAAGACUCACUUCCACAGAGCUCCGCACUCCACCUCUGCACACUGCACGAAGACUCACUUCCACAGAGCUCCGCACUCCACCUCUGCACACUGCACGAAGACUCACUUCCACAGAGCUCCACACUCCACCUCUGCACACUGCACGAAGACUCACUCCCACAGAGCUCCACACUCCACCUCUGCACACUGCACGAAGACUCACUUCCACAGAGCUCUGCACUCCACCUCUGCACACUGCACGAAGACUCACUUCCACAGAGCUCCGCACUCCACCUCUGCACACUGCAGGAAGGUUCACUCCCACAGAGCUCUGCACUCCACCUCUGCACACUAG